rnacentral:rRNA from 1 species
UUCCAGACUCCUACGGGAGGCAGCAGUGGGGAAUAUUGCACAAUGGGGGAAACCCUGAUGCAGCGACGCCGCGUGAGCGAUGAAGUAUUUCGGUAUGUAAAGCUCUAUCAGCAGGGAAGAAGAUGACGGUACCUGACUAAGAAGCCCCGGCUAACUACGUGCCAGCAGUCGCGGUAAUACGUAGGGGGCAAGCGUUAUCCGGAUUUACUGGGUGUAAAGGGAGCGUAGACGGCGAUGCAAGCCAGAUGUGAAAGCCCGGGGCUCAACCCCGGGACUGCAUUUGGAACUGUGUGGCUGGAGUGUCGGAGAGGCAGGCGGAAUUCCUAGUGCAGCGGUGAAAUGCGUAGAUAUUAGGAGGAACACCAGUGGCGAAGGCGGCCUGCUGGACGAUGACUGACGUUGAGGCUCGAAAGCGUGGGGAGCAAACAGGAUUAGAUACCCCCGUAA